UGAGUAACACGUAUCCAACCUGCCGUCUACUCUUGGACAGCCUUCUGAAAGGAAGAUUAAUACAAGAUGGCAUCAUGAGUCCGCAUGUUCACAUGAUUAAAGGUAUUCCGGUAGACGAUGGGGAUGCGUUCCAUUAGAUAGUAGGCGGGGUAACGGCCCACCUAGUCAACGAUGGAUGGGGGUUCUGAGAGGAAGGUCCCCCACAUUGGAACUGAGACACGGUCCAA
rnacentral:rRNA from 1 species